AGCGAACGCUAGCGGCGGGCUUAACACAUGCAAGUCGAGCGGAGAGCUUCGGCUCUCAGCGGCGAACGGGUGAGUAACACGUAGGUCACGUACCCUUUGAUGGGGAAUAACCUAGGGAAACCUGGGCUAAUACCGCAUAUGUCCUUCGGGAUGAAAGCCUUCGAGCGUCAGAGGAUCGGCCUGCGGCCCAUUAUUUAAUCCUAGUUGGUAGGGUAAUGGCCUACCAAGGGUACGAUGGGUAGCUGGUCUGAGAGGAUGAUCAGCCACACUGGAACUGAGACACGGUUCAGACUCCUACGGGAGGCAGCAGUGGGGAAUAUUGGACAAUGGGCGAAAGCCUGAUCCAGCCACGCCGCGUGGGUGAUGAAGGCCUUCGGGUUGUAAAGCCCUGUCGGGAGGGACGAAUCAAUGACGGUACCUCCCAAGAAAGCACCGGCUAACUCCGUG
rnacentral:rRNA from 1 species